ACAAGGCUCAGAGAAGUGCAGUAACCACCUGAAGGGCGCAUAGCUAGGAGGCAGCAGAGGCUGGUAAGCUGGUUAUGGAGCCUGCCCUCAACGGCUCCACGCACUGAGCUCUCCGAGCAACCACAACACUGCUGGAAGAAGGCCUGCAUGACUUUCCUGAGCUGUAUUUACCCCCGGUGUUUAUUAGGAAAGAUUUCAAACAUUCAGCAAAGUUCAAAGAAUUGUUCAGUGAAUACCCACGUACUCACCACCUGGCUACUGCCACGGGGCUACUUCCAGCAACGUGACCCAUAUAGCAGGCACUCAUGGACCACGCCUGACAAGCAAGGCAGCAAUUACGGUGAGGAGACACAGUUUGCCGAGUCGAGCCCCGAGUGAGGACGCAUCUGCUGGCCGUGUUGAGAACAGGCCACAGGAAAAGCAAGAGGAGAAGCAGAAACCUGUCAGGAGGGUAUGGCAGCAAUCCGGGCAGGAGAUGACAACAGCCUGGUCCAGGACAGUAGAGAUGGAGGUAAAGAGAGAUGUCUGGAUUCUGGACACAUUCUGAAAGUAGAGCUGACAAGAUUUCCUAAGGAUGGAGCAUGUGAACAUCGCAUCCACAGGAAUCAAGGAUGACUCUGGGGUUUUUGACCUAAGCAACCGGAAGGGUGGUGCUGCCAUCAACCAAGAUAGGUUUGAACCUGGGAAGCUUACUAUCAAAAGCCAAAGCAAAUGCGCACUGAGACUGGAAGGUCCCUUUCUAGGUGGAAAACUGGACUGGGCUGGUUUGGACAUAAGAAUUUCAGAGAACUAAUGGGUCAGGCUGCUAAUGAGCAGGGAGGCUGUGCAAGGCCAGCGCCCCAGUGAAAAUUCUGGUGUCUGCCGAAACCUGCUCGAACCCACAGAGAAACUAUGGGAAGCAGGGUGGGGGCUGGAGGGUGAGGAGGUGGGGACAGGGGGAAGCUGGGGACAAACCGAGGCUACUUUGAAAGCCAACUAGUCAGGACCGGCACCUUUCAAAGUUAAUCAUGUUACAGGGAAAUGUACUUGAAUCCCAAAUGCUGUUCCAAGUACAAAGGUAAAUUACUUUAUUAAAUUUAAAACUAAAAAUUCAAGAGAGCAAAAUAGGAAGUGGUUUGUUCUGGAUACGGUUUUCCUUCUGAAUCGCAUUGGUUUUGUUUUAACUGAACUUUUCCAGCAUGGGUCAGAGACUUUACAGGCUAGAUAGCUUGCAGGCCAGUGGGCACGCCUGAGCCUCUCAGGAGCAUUCAUCUAAAGCGAACUCUCUGGCUCUCCCCCCUGGGGGCUCUGUUCUCCUCUCCCCUCCCAGGCUCAGCCUGCACCGUGGACUUUCUUCAGUGGCCCCACUACAGAGCCCAGCAAGAGCUCACACACAAGAAAGGAUGCUCCAUUGCACUCAGAGCACGAGAAAUACUAAUUAAAACCAAUCUUGAUUCUCCUUCUUUCACUUACUUUGGAAAAGCUUGAAACACGUGACAAUGUACUGAGUUGGCAGGGAAGUGAGGAAAUUAGGCGCUCUCACACACGGCUUGUGGGAGUGAGAAGUGGUAAAAUCUCUACCGAGAAUAUUUAACAAUAGCUAACAAAAUUACAAACGCUCACCUGCUUUGAUUCAGCAAGUCUGCUUCUAGGAACAUAGCCUACAGAUGUGCUUGUCCAUGAGCGCAGUGUUGUAGGUAUAAGGUGGUCCACUGUCAACCCCGUAGUAACAAAGAGCUGGAAAUAACCUAACUGUCCCACAAAUAGGGGAAGGGGAAUAACAUGCACCCGUGAAAAAGAGUGGGGCACACUUUUUACACCGCUAUGGAUUAAGCUUCAAGAUAUCUUUUUUUUUUGGGGGGGGUAUAGUUGAUUUACAAUGUUCUGUUAGU